AUGUCCCUAGGAGUUCUCUGCAAGCACUUCACGAGGCAUUGUUUCAAGAGGUUUUGUCAAGUGUUUGAGAACUCUUGGUGUUUG
rnacentral:pre_miRNA from 7 species